UGGGCCUGAAGAUUCCCACACGCCAUUGUGGAAGCCUCGUGCCCCUCCCAGUGGGGCCCCUGGCGUAGCCUAGAACUCCUGAGAAAGCGGUACCCAGCAUCCUGGUGACCCAGUAGACAUGGGGGACUCUGGGUGGUGACCAGCAAGCCUACAACCAGGAUGGCCACCUCCCUCGGGUAUGACUGUUUUCAGUCUGCUGCCUCACAACUCCAAACCAGCCCGUCAUUACCUGCUCUGGAAUAGCGGGCUAGCCCCUUAAAGCAAUUCUCCUUGGCAGCGAGAGCGAUACCGAACUGUGUCAGUAGAUGGCGCUAGAGGGACACCGCAGGAGGAAGACGCCUUCCCUGGCCCCCGUCGCUUCUGUUCGCUUCUCCUCUGAGACUGCUGCAGCGAGGAAUGCAUGGGGACAUCCACUGCACUGCCCCAGCUCUGCAUCCAGAACACACAAUGCCUAAGCCAUGUGAAGAAUUUUCUCCUCGAGGGAAUUGGCAAGAAUGUUGUCGGAAACAGCCGGCAGUCCUCCCCAGCCGUCCACCUGC